UAUCUUUCAAACAAAAAAAGAAAAAGAAAAAAAAUCUUAGCUCUACUCCCACGCACUUUAACAACUCAUCAUCAGAAGCAGAGGAGAGGAGAGAACAGAACGGAGAAGAAGGCGUAGAGCCGAAGUUAAAGUCGGCGCCCACGGAAGAAUCCGGCGCUUUCUUUACCCCAACCCAAUCUCGUCGCCGACUUUAAUUCCACUCCCCUUUUUCAGUAACCCCCACCCCCCCUCUUUUUAUUUCCUUUUUGUUUAUCUGCUCCCUUUUUCUUGUUUUGAUCUUUGUGGUGCGCGAUAGAUCGGCUUCGACUCCUCCUGGUGGUGGAAUGCAUUUGAGGAGUUUUGUGGAGUUGUAAUUAAUGCUCCAAUUUAGGGUUUGAAUAAGGUAGGUUUUGGUAGGUUGAGAUCUUAUUUUGUUGGUGAUUUUUUGGUGGUAAAGAUAUACUGGGAUUUGAUUGAUGUUCUAAUUUAGGUUUUGCUAGGUUUAAUGUAUUAUUUAUUUAUUUUUUUAUUUUUUUAUUUGGGUGAGAUGUAGUAAGUUUUGACUGGAUUUCUCUUGUUUCUUCUACUAGUAUGAAUUUGGUUGAUUAGUUGAGGUUUGUGUUGUA